AUGAAUACUUGCCAAAUGGAAGCUUAGAUUUGUUUCUUUUUGAUCACACAAGAAAGUCUUGUUUGAGUUGGAGUAAACGCUUCAACAUUAUUGUUGGAAUUGCUCGUGGAAUUUUAUAUCUUCACGAAGACUCAAGGUUGAGAGUUAUCCAUAGAGAUUUAAAAUGUAGCAACAUUCUCUUAGAUGCAGAGAUGAACCCCAAGAUUUCAGAUUUUGGAUUGGCGAAAACACUCAAAGGUGACCGAAUUCAAUACAAG
rnacentral:misc_RNA from 1 species